GGGCGGAUGGUUUAGUGGUAUAAUUUUCCCUUAGCAUCGUGUAACCUACUGGUUGCUCAACCGCCUGGGAAAGGUCCGGGGUUCGAUUCCCCGUUCGUCCA
rfam:Trichoderma virens Gv29-8 TRIVIscaffold_5, whole genome shotgun sequence.